rnacentral:lncRNA from 1 species
CAUGGAAAGACCAGUCCGAAGUGGGGCCCUGGCUGCUGGGACCUGGGGCUGAUGCUGACGUGGUCAGGAGCUGCCUGAGCCCACGUACACAAAUGGCCAGGUCAGCAGGACUGUGGUUGAAGUUCGGAGUCAAAAGUAUGUGGGACACCUGCACAGGACCAGUGAGGAGUUGGAGACUUCAACCUGUUUGAGUCAGGAUGUCUGUCGGUUUCUGCGCAGGAAUUGUCAGCAAGGCAAGGUUCUUAGCAUUUGAUCCCUACUGUAAUCUGCUUUCUCAGGCUCUCCCCAGAGCUACUGAACCAGAGAUUUGGGUGGGGCUGCAGUUCCUGUGUAUUGUGCUGUCAGGGGAUUCUGACACCCGCUAGAACAGACCCAGAACCCUGGGUCUCUCCAGCAUUGGGUUGGAAACCAUGUCUCUUGUACUAGCCAUGUGUCUUGUACUCUUAUAUUAGCC